GUCUUAAGGAAAUCUGAGUUGAUAUCAUGCAUGUAAUUUAAGUUGUUAUCUGCUAUUAUAAAUGAUGAAAUUUGUGAUUAAUUUAAACAAUAGAAAUAUGCUAAUCUACAAAUCAUAUUUUAAAUGCAAAAGUUUUCCUAGCACAAUUUAUUAAUAAUAAAAGUAACAUUUUAAUUUAGCACUAAAAAACGAUCGAAAUGGUAGGCUGUGUCUACAUUUACUACUUUUUGGUAAUUCUGAUCUAAAACCUUUGCACCAAAAGAGCCCAAACAUCACGUUAAUGUUAUGUACGAAUAAGAGUCGUUAGAAAACAGUGAAACAGUCACAUUUAGACAAAGUAAACAAUCAAUAAAUAAAUAUGAAUAGACAAAAAAUGAUUAAUACACAAAUUA
rnacentral:lncRNA from 1 species